rnacentral:pre_miRNA from 13 species
AGCUCUGUUUUUCUGGGCAGUCUUUGCUACUGUAAACAUCCUUGACUGGAAGCUGUAAAGUGUUCAGAGGAGCUUUCAGUCGGAUGUUUACAGCGGCAGGCUGCCACGGUCAUCCCCAGCUGCA